rnacentral:rRNA from 1 species
AGAGUUUGAUCCUGGCUCAGAUUGAACGCUGGCGGCAGGCCUAACACAUGCAAGUCGAGCGGUAGCACAGAGAGCUUGCUCUCCGGGUGACGAGCGGCGGACGGGUGAGUAAUGUCUGGGAAACUGCCUGAUGGAGGGGGAUAACUACUGGAAACGGUAGCUAAUACCGCAUAACGUCGCAAGACCAAAGUGGGGGACCUUCGGGCCUCAUGCCAUCAGAUGUGCCCAGAUGGGAUUAGCUAGUAGGUGGGGUAAUGGCUCACCUAGGCGACGAUCCCUAGCUGGUCUGAGAGGAUGACCAGCCACACUGGAACUGAGACACGGUCCAGACUCCUACGGGAGGCAGCAGUGGGGAAUAUUGCACGAUGGGCGCAAGCCUGAUGCAGCCAUGCCGCGUGUAUGAAGAAGGCCUUCGGGUUGUAAAGUACUUUCAGCGAGGAGGAAGGCAUUAAGGUUAAUAACCUUAGUGAUUGACGUUACUCGCAGAAGAAGCACCGGCUAACUCCGUGUCAGCCGCCGCGGUAA